CGGCCGCAAGCUGGAGAGGGCUCCGAGCCGGGCUCGGAACUCGGGCCGUCUGACGGGCUGGUGCCCACAGGGUCGUUGCCGCCACCCACCGGCAAGUCGCAGACCCGGCCUGAGCCUCCCUGGACCCUUCCUGGCCUCUUCCUCCUGUCCUGAAGGUACCGCGGCGCCAGGAGAAGGCGACCGCGUCCACACCCCGCCGUGACGGAGAGGGGACCGCACCCUCCCCCGGAACACCCCAAGAUCCCUGGAAAUGCAGUAUUAACGUAGAAAAGAUGUUUUACUUCCGUGUUUUGGCUAGGAAGGUAAUAAGGUCGAGACAAAAUAAAGACUCACAACUGGCCUUUAAUCUGGGGAUAAGAAUGAAGUCUGAGCUAUCUCUUCCAAAAACUGUUGGUGUGAGUGUAAACAAAGGUGACUGUUUUACUUCUAGGGAUCUACAAAUGGGAUGCAUUUCAAACACUUCUUGUAAUAAAGCAUAACAA
rnacentral:lncRNA from 1 species